rnacentral:rRNA from 1 species
CUGGAACCGUGGUGGACGGUAAAUGCCAGAUACACGGAACACCGGUGCGAAGCGACGCACUGGCCAUGUACUGACACUGAGCGCGAAACGUGGGGAGCAAACGGGAUUAGAUACCCCGGUAGUCCACGCUGUAAACGAUCGAACUAGGAGAGGUGUCCUAGACACUCUUUCCCCAAGGGAAACCGAUAAGUUCGCCGCCUGGGGAGUAUGCUCGCAAGGGUAAAACUCAAAGGAAUUGACGGGGGCUCACACAACGGUGGAGCAUGUGGUUUAAUUCGAAGCAACGCGAAGAACCUUACCCAGGCCCUAGACAUCAGGAUGUAACCCGGUGAAAGCCGGGCCAACCCGCAAGGAAACCUGUGCAGGUGUUGCAUGGCUGCGUCAGCUCGUGCGUGAGAUGCGGGUUAAGUCCCAUAACGAGCGAAACCCUUGCCGCCAGUUGCCAGCGCGUAAUGCGGGGACUCUGCGGGACUGCCUCGUAAGACGGAGGAAGGUGGGGACGACGUCAAGUCAUCAUGGCCUUUAUGGCCUGGGCUACACACGUGCUACAAUGGGCCGUAACAAAGGGAUGCUAAGUCGCGAGAUGGUGCGAAACCUAUAAAGCCGAUCUCAGUUCAGAUUGGAGGCUGAAACUCGCCUCCAUGAAGUUGGAAUCGCUAGUAAUCGCGGAUCACGUACGCCGCGGUGAAUAUGUUCCCGAGCCUUGUACACACCGCCCGUCAAGCCACCCAAGCAAGAUGCACCCAAAAUCGCCUGCCUACCCGUAAGGGAGGGAAGUGCCUAAGGUGUGUUUUGUGAGGAGGACUAAGUCGUAACGGGUAGGUCGUAGGGAGACUCUGCGGCUGGGUCGCCUCCUUUCUG